GCCGUUACGAGAAAUGACGUCGAAUUCACGCCGUCCUCUUAAUUAAGAUGGCUGAUAUGAUUUUUAUAUUGUAAUAAAAGAAAAAUCUUUCUAUAAAGUAGAAUCAGUGUUUGUUCGAUAAAUGAAAUUUUGCACGCGUUAUAAAGAUUUAAACAUACAUAUUAGUUUUUGCUGCGUGCAAUGCAGUAAUUUAGUUAAUUUAGUUAACUAGUAUAAAAAGUUAUUUUUUUUUUGCAUUUAUUCAUAUUAUACUUACAUAAUAAAAUAUAAUGUAUUUCGUGAAGGUAAAUUCAGUGUCGGUCUUUUAACUAAUAAAUAAUUAAAGUGUAUCAAAAUCAGUGCAUCACGGAAAAUGAAGAACGACAACACACUCUUCUUUAUGGACUUUACGAUCAUCAUUACGAUCGUAUCAUGUUAAUCUACGAUUUCAACCUAUUUGAGAUAAAUCCACUUCAUUUUCAAACAACUUCAAUGUUGACCUACAUCAUAUGCAACGCACUAUAGAUCAACUCACCUCAAUUUCGACGUAUAACACGGACGAGUGUUUUGGAGCCAUCAGAGAACUUCUAAAGC